AUUAAAUACCUUGUUUCCCUCUCUGGUGGUUCGUGGGCUCCCUGGUGGUCCUGUGGACAUGGCCGCCGGUCUGCAGCUCUGCAGUGUGCAGAGCUGCAGACCAUGUAUCUCACGAGAUCCAGUCAGCGCGUUGCUGUGGUAACCCGCAGCAUCGCUCUGAUUGGUCAGAAUUUGUGAGACACAUGGUCUGCAGCUCUGCUCUCCUCCCGAGCAAACGGCACGGAGAGGCCUCUCACCCAGCGGUAUAUCCAGCAAGCCACCGGGCCCCCUCCUGGUGACUGAGGACCUUACACAGUCUGCCCUAAGGCGGUUUAGGCGGCUGCGAGGCCCCAGACAGCACGAGGCCUUAGGCAGUCGCCUAAACUGCCUAAUUAGAGAGCCGCCUCUGCAUCUAUAGGAGGUAAAGGCAUUUCCAGCUCUGAGCUUUUAGUGACAUUUCAAAUGCCCUUGUUAAAGAAAUUAUUACAGAAAGUGGUUAAAUCUUAUGUCCACUCAUGAAAAUACAUUACCAUUCAGCACUUAUUUCUGAAUGAUCUGCCCACGGCUUGUAGUAAUGUAGCUGCGCAAAGCCAUCUAUAUGACACCAUAAUCUGUGAUUCAAUGCCAGGCGUUUCACAAGAUGAGGCUGUAACAGAUCAAUAUUUCUCAGAGGUUGAUAAAGGGAUCCCUUCCCUACAUACAUGAAAAUGUCUCAGUAGUUUCUAUAACAAAGGACACAUUAUAUAAACUAAGUGCUGCACAACAUCAAAGUGAUAAAAAUUGUAACUUCACAAACUUUUUUUUCAUUUUUCUGAUGCUAUGCAGACACUAAAGGUGCUCUCCGUUACAAUGUUUCUCCUGAUCUGGGCUAUAAGGUGUGUGCAGCUUUGCACCUAUAUUCUGCAUCACCUGAGGGGUAACAGAAACAGAAAGUAAAUCUAAAGGCUCACUAUGAUGCCGUCUGCCCAUUUACUUUUUCUUAGAAAUGUUUUUUUGGUGUUGGUUAUUUUAUAGAAGAAAGAAAAUUCAAGCCUUGUUAGGUGAAAUGGCAAUGUUUUGAAUAGUCCUGUUAAAGUGUUUAGGUCACAGAUUGUGAUCGCUUUGAAAAGCAUGUUUAACCUAGGGCAGGGGUAGGCAACCUAUGGCACGUGUGCCAUGCACGGCACUCAAGCUGUCUUUGCACGGCACUAAAGGCUGCUAGAGCCAAACAGGUUCUGGCCUAUCAGGAGUCCCAGUGUAACUUCAGAUAUCUGCUAAUACGAAAAGGUGUUGAAGGACAAUCCUCAAUUUAUGCAUUGCAGCACGUAGAGGAAGUGAUCUUAGAUCACUUCAUUCCAGCACUUGUGAAUGCAAAUCCACACAGUAGUAGAGCAGCGCACAGCUCCUGUUGCAGCUCCUGUCCUUGACCUGUACCUGGCCAGCCUGGUCCCCACUGGAAGCCAGGGAAGCCACCCACACUGCUAGAUAUACACAGAAAUGCAGAAUAACCCUCCCCUUAUACAAAUAAUACGAACAGCCCACACACAAACCCAAAAAACUCAACACCACUGACAAUCCACAUACAUGCACACAACCCCACAUACGCCAAACAGCCCCAAACAUACACACACUACCAAACACACAAUGUGACAUAUCCAUCUACACACACAAUUCCACAAGCAGCCCGCAUACAUAGGUAUCAUACACGAUACCACAAACUACUUAACACAGCUUAUAUAUGCACAAAUACAAAGCAACUGCAGUAUAAAUAACAGAAGCAGAAUAUGGCAACAUGCACACGUCAAUUUAAAAAAAAAAAAACAGGACCAACGCGCUACGGGACAUCAUAAUCUUAUUUCGGCAGAGUGCUGCUAAAAGUUUGCCUACCCCGGACCUAGGGCAUAAGGCCACUUUUACAGGUCUGAUACUGGCAAAAGUGGCGUAGAAAAUAAUCUGAAUAGUGGGAUGAUCAGCUGCCAUUAAUGUGUCGAUAAAACAAAGUUGUUUCCUUAACUAUUGGCAAACAUGCAUUAUAAGCAGCCUUUCCAUAUAUUUAUCUCUGCAAAUGUAACAUACCACAUCAUUAAUUAAGACCUUUUAUCCUGUAUGACUAUGAAAAGUUUAAUGAUCUAAACUAACACAAUCCAGAUGUUAACCUUUCUUAUCUUGUUCAAAUCCUAUUUUCUAUAAAGGUCUCAUUUUACCUGAAUAGUAUAUUUCUUCCAGUUGUCUCCACUAACUGCAAUCAUGUCCUCCCAUUUCCCAAAGGUAAUUGCCAUUCAAGUCAUUUGCCAAAUGGAUAAAAAGUCUGCCUAGGAAUACUUUUGAAGUACAUGAGUAUGCUGAUGUAAAUAUGUACAUGUAAGGCCUGGGGCUUUUCACCCUUUAUGACCAAUAAAUAGUAUUUAGAAAUUCAAAAGUUUUAUCAUGUGUUUGUGGGGGUUCAUAGUGGCCACCUAUUUCUUCAUAUUAAAUCUUGUCACCUAUCAGCCAUUUGAGGAUCAUGACUGGGGCAUCCAAAAUCUGCUGACGUGAGAAUGUUCCUCAAGUAAGUGCUAACUUUUCCUCAUAUUACUUGUGCAAUGAUGCCAUAAUCUAAUCUUUAAUUGUUUCAGUUUUUUAAAAUCAUGUUGUCCUAUUCAAGCAUUGCUCUUAUGUUUUCACACGGCUUGUUUAUUGAGCCCCCUGGUAUGCAUGGCAGUGUGUAACACUGUUCCUUUGUAGCCCAUGUCCAUGAUUCUUUUAAGUAACCUGAUCAGUACUGCUUCACUCCUUGAUGGCUUUUGAAUUUGACUCCGAUAUCCUGACCAUUGGUAAUCCCCUUUUUGAUCUGAAUAAGUUAUGACCUUGACUCGGAUGUCCUGAUUACGCUCAUGGUACAAUUAUAUAUAUUAUAUGACCGCGGCUGUGCUUGCUGUUACCUCAAUUGGAUGGAUGCUCAAUAUUGGACUUUGCUUUUUGACAAACUCCUGGUACUUUUUGGAUUACAAUAGUUACAAUAAACUCCAUCACUCAAGCUCUGUCUAUAUUGGAUUCUAUACUUUGUUGGUAUACUUGUUUGGUUGAUGUUCCAGGAGGAAUAUGCCAAAUGGCAAAUGAUUUAGGUAAACUAGAAAAAUGGUCAGAGCUUUGGCAACUGAAU